GGCGGGGCCCGGCCCCGGGUCCGUAACGGGGAGGGGAGCGCUUUGCCCACGCUUUCCAUUUCUUUUUUGGCCGUUUAACGAAGCCUUAAUAAGCGAAUUGUGCCUGGGAUGUUCUGUGUGGUCAAAGGCGAGCCCGACGCGCCGGCAACCGCGCUAUUGAGAUGCUUUCUGCGGUGCUGGAAUCGCGAAUUAAAGCAGCGCCCGGCCGGCCUGGCAGGAACGCUACACAACGGACCGACAGACACAGCGGGAUGGAGAACAGGAGACCAAACUUCUGCCGCCGCCUUCUACGGGAUCACAGAAUCACAGAACCAUUCAGACAGAUGCAGUUGGUUUACCCUUGCAGCGUCAGCCCUCUACAUUUCUAAUUAUACACGGGGACCAUAUUUCCACUUGACCCUUUGCAAGAAGAAACCACUUAUUGUUAUUCACAACACAUAUGUCAUUUCUUCCCUUUUACAAGCCUACAUCAAAUGGGCUGUUCCUGCAAAGAGAUGAACAACUUGAGCUUCAUAUGAAUUUUAAAGGGGGGAGGGUGCGAGCACAAGUCCUUGCAGAUGAAAGACCAUGCUUUACAGUUAUUUUAUUCACUGCAAAGGAGGUUUUAAUGCAAACAAAGCCAGCUGAGGUUGUUCUGAAACAGCAGUCUCUCACGGAAGCAGAAUUCCUGCAACUUUCAUUGCACAAGUGCAGGGCCUCGCUGAAAGCCAGCCUGCUUAUUACCACCAGCCAUCAGGCUUACUUUGUUUCACCGUUUUGGCACUACACAAACCCCAUAUUAAAGACACCUCACGUGCUUUCUCUUUCUUAUGAUAAAGUGCAGAGCUUUCAGGGGAAGGAGGAGGACAGGGAAGCCCAGCAGCCCCAGCUGGCCCCUCCUGCCCUCCCCAUCCCGAUCCAUCAUUGGGAGCAUCAUCCACAGCUCCACUCCCAGGCACCAAUCAGCCCCACAGGGACACACAGCAGUGCAGAACACAACCACAUGUUUUUGGAUUGGCAUUUUUUGGGAAAACUUUGGGUUUCUCCCAGUUUUGGAGGCCUAAAUAUAUAGAACUUUGCUGCCAAAUGCAUGGCCUCAGCCUCCCCAGUGCCUGCUUGCUGCAGCCUACUGGGAACCCACCACUGGUCCAAGAGAACACAGUGCCUUUACCUGACAAAGCAGAGGCUUCCAGGAACCCUUUCUGAUGAAGCUGCUGAGUCCCAGGCCAAGUUGACUGCUGCUAUUAUGCAGCUGGGGCUUUGCUGGGGAAAUGGUGCUAAUCUGCUCCGUGAAGCAGCAGCAACACACGUUUCCUCUGAACAACAACAGCUCAUGUCACGGAUUUCCUUUAAGUAAUAAUAAUAAAAAGCCUCUAAAGGGCAGCCCUGCUUCCCUUUCCCUGCACGAGCAUCCUGCCGCUGCUGCGGGAAGUCACAGAAUCAUGGCAUCACAGAAUGGCCUGGGUUGAAAUGGACCGCAGUGACCAUCGAGUUUCACCCCCCCUGCUAUGUGCAGGGUCGCCAACCAGCAGCCCAGGCUGCCCAGAGCCACAUCCAGCCUGGCCUUGAAUGCCUGCAGGGAUGGGGCACCCACACGUCACGGCUGCGCGGUGGCUGUCACCCACCAGAGACCACCUCCUGCACAGCCAACCAGCUGAGCUCCCCAUCUCACAGCCAGAAGUCAGUCUGUGCCCCACACGACCCCUGGCCCCAGAUUUUAUCCAGCAGCCCAUUUUUACCCACUGCCCUCCCGACGCCACGUGUUCCCCGGCAGGGCAGGGGCAGCACCGCGCCGUCCCCACAGCCCUGCAUUUCUAAGGGAAAAGCACUGCUUUGUGAGGAGCUUUUUGACAGUGAUCCUUUGCUGCGAGGCGCACGCAGAUACCAUGGUGACAGACACCUUCCCUUAUCGCGAAAGCAAACAGGAACUCAGGAAUUUGUGUUUUAAGGCCAAACUAUAUAUAGGAGCGACGCACGCUCGACAUCUUGCCGCUGUUUCCUAUGAGUGCUGUUUGCCUGAUGAAACCCCGCAGCCCGGCCAGCACAGCAGGCACCGCUCGGCCUUUUGGGGCUGCGUUGGGGAGACUCAGCAAACUCCAUUUGCAUUGGCAGGUUUCAGUAUUUAGAUUUAGCACGUUAAUCCUUUGCUUUAUUUAGAGUAAGGACGGGGGGGUGUGAAGGAAGAGGGGGAAAUCACACCCUGCACACUGCGGUCCCACUGUAGCUCUGCUGCAGGCAGAGGAGAGGCAGAGGGCUUCUCCUAACCAUUGCUUUGGGCUCCUUUUUAAGCAUCUCAGGCUGAACUCGGUGACAGAUUCCCCUUCUCCCAUCUGGGCAAAAUUCAUAGAACGGCUCAGAUUGGAGGGGAUCACAGAGAUCAUCGAGCUCCAAGCUCCUGCCCUGGGCAGAUAAUGGCAGAAAAGGGAGGAAAAAACACCUCUGUUUUCAGAAGCACCCACAGCACCUCCCUGCUCCGGGUGGAUUACGGAGGAAACAAGGAAGGAACAAAUCCCCUUCCAUUGAAGGUAUUUCUUGGCCGUUUCAAUAGGGCAGAAUGGCAGCCUUCUGGGAGCUGUGCUUCUGGAGGCCAAACCAGCAGUCAGGACAGCUAAUUUUAUUCCCAAGCAGUGUGAAAUGUGCUGAUACACACAGCAGAGCUUUUAUCACUGCUUUGGCAAGCUGGGGAUUACCACCCAAGUAUGGUUAAAGUGGAAUUACACUGAAUUCAGUGGGAAGCAAACACCGCCUCAUCGCUUUAACAAAGGUGCAUUAAAGGCAAUUACCAAAAAACACUCUUCAAGGAGUAAAUGGGCUGCAAUGAGGCCGUCAGCAGCCCAGCAGAGGGGCUCUGCUCCUCCUUAACCCCCCCGAGGAGAUGCUGGGUGCCACAGGGAACCAAUCCUCCCUCCUCCUUUAUGAAGGCAGCGAUGUGCCACUGUCACACGCUUUCCCAGCAAGGACACAUCGCUGGGGUUGGAUGAAACCAGUGGGGCUGUGAGUUCCCCUUCCUCUGUUUUCUCUCCUGGCUCCAGGAGGGCCAGCAAACACAUUGGGUAAACACGGUGCGAGGUCAGCAGGGAUCCCCUUAUCUCUGCACAGGGCUCUGGAAUUCGGUGUAAUCUCCAAGGCCACGUGGAGGGAAAAAAAAAAAGCCAUUUAUAAACUGGUUUCACAGGCACAUUUGGUAAGGAAUGUGAGCGAGGAAAUAGCUGGAAUAGUUCACAUGCACGACGCCAGCGCAGCACCACCGCAUCUUCAUGUUUUUGCAGCCACUCUAAACCUAUUAACCGAGGAAUUCCAGCAUGCACAGAGGAGGUCACGAAGCCAAAGAGCAGUUCUGUAAUGCAAACCCUCCUGCCCUACUUCUCCGUGUGCACGGGGAGCAGAGGGCAGCGGGAUGGGAGGAACCGGCCCUGUAAUUACGUGUCAGUGAGCUGAAGCUGCUGCCUCCACUGCCCUGUGGGUGCUGUGCAGGGCACAGAAUCACAGCGCCACAGAAGCAUUAAGGUUGGCAAAGACCUCCCAGAUCCCCAACCCCAGCCCAACAACCACGUCCCCCAGGGCCACAUCUCCAUGGUGCUGAACGCCCCCAGGGACGGUGACCCCACCAUCCCCUGGGCAGCUCUGCCACCGCCUUUUGGAGAAGGAAUGUUUCUCAGUGCCCCCUGAACCUCCUCUUCCCCAGACUGACCCCUCCCACUCCCUCAGCCGCCCCCCAUAGCAUUGUCCUCCAGACCCCUCACAGCUCCGUUGCCCUUCUCCAGACACACUCCAGGACCUCCAUGUCUUUCCAGUAGCGGGGAGGCACAGCACUGAGCACACGGGGACCAUCACUGGGAGCUGAAGGCACCAAGGAAAACAGCAGUGCCCUGGUGCAUCCCUGCAGCCCAAGCUCAAGUAGAUGACAUCUGGAGUACAAACCAACGCUCAGCAAUUUCUCCAGAGGAGUCUUCCUGGUUGGAGAUGCUCCUGUAGGUGCCCUCCAAUGCAUGGCCCCAGCUGCACCACUCUGCCCAAGCACCACCAAAUCCACCGCCGCCACUGCUUCCCACCUCCCAGCCAAGGGCAAUUAUCUCCUGCUAUUCCUUUGCCUCUGCGUCUUUAUGAGCUGCUCAGCAUUGAGAUGCAGUUCAGGUUCACAGGAGUACAGGCUGCUGCUUUGCUUUUCCCUAAUGAUUUAUGAUGUGCUUAACGCAGCCGUUUGCAGGAACGUGCUGCGGAGCAGCAGCGGGGCUGUGCCCAAAGCCCCCAAACUGCUCUCCCAGGCCUACAGGACAGAUGCUCAAUGGAGGGCAGAUCCCAGCUCCAAGCCUGCCUGGGGGCUGCAGGGGCUGAGCCCUGUGUGCCACCUGCUGAGGCUGCUCGCCCUGCUGUGGCCCUUGGGAUGUGCCCCAGAGCCAAGGGCUGCCCUUGGCCAUGUUAGAAUCUGUUCAGCCCUUGCUGUAAAGUUCCCAAUCUGUAUUCCAAGUCAGAAAUGUAACUUCACAAAAGAAAACUCAAAACAACCAACCCCCGAAACCAACCAAAAAAACACCCAACACAACCGCACGCAAACCCAAGGAAAAUAAAAUACAUAACUACAGCACAUGUAGCUGUGAGGAAACAAAACCUCUUCCCUGAUGAUGAAUUAUACUUUGCUCGCAACAGAUGCAGCUCUUUAUAUUUGUUUUCUGCAUAAAUCUACAUAUUAGCCUGAAAGCAAUUGUGUGUGCUUUGUCUUGCCUUGGUUACAUCAGUCACUGCUCAUUUUAGCUGAUUGCCUUUGAGUGCUGGGCUGGGUGCUCUGAGCACAGCUUAGCUCCUCAAAACAGGCCUGUCAUGGAGCUUUUCCAGCACCAAAAGUGCCUGGUGCUUCCCCAGGGGCCGUGCUGUGCCACCUUGUGCCAUGCCAUCCCAUAGGAUCUCAUGCCAUGCCAUGCCAUGCCCAACAGGGCUGGAGCUGCCUCUCCAUCACACAGGUAUGGGAGCUGCCAAGGUCUGCUCCUGCAAUGGCACUUAUCGCCCACUUCUAAUUGAUUGCUGUCGUUUAAUGAGUUGUAUUACUUGGAAAUGCCUGCUGCAUCCCAGGCCCUGCUGUGGUUGGUGAAGGAGAAGCAUGGAGUGACUGCGCCCACUGCAGCCCCAAUGUCCUUCACAGAGGCGCAGGGAUGCAGCUGGUGGGGGUACAGUGCAGCCACCCCGAGAAAGGGAAACUCACGGGGACCCAAUGCAAUUAUGUUAUUAAACGGCUCGUAACUCCCAGGGAAAAUUUAUUUCCCUCUCCUCGAGGAGUGUUAUUUAAUAUCCGUGUGCUGGAAAUCAAAGUGAUGAAGGAAGUCAACAAUUACUGCAGUGCUUCGUUAAGGGGAACGUGCCCGUCCUACACCCUCACCCUGGCCCCGUGUGCGAUGGAAGCAGCUCAGGGGUUGGGGUCACCACAUUGGGCUCGUGUUGGGCCACGGCCUGCCCACGGCCAGGAGGAUGCAGGGAAACGUUUCCUUAAUUAAUUGAGAAUUUGGAAGAUCUGCAGCCGACAGCUCCAAUGCGCUGAGCAGUGGGUCGAACGUGUGCUGAACUCAGUGCUGGGGGAGGACGGCAAAAAAUAGAAAGCAAAUUGCCGUGACCUAUUCCUGUAAUGAAAAGGUCUAUUUCUAAUCCGUGCGCUAUUUAAGCGGAGGUAUUUCCAGCUAAUCUCCAACCAUAACCCACUUAGGCAGAGCUGUGUGCACGAAGCAGUGGCUGCGCCCUCAGCGCGGUGCAGCAGGACAGACUGACACUGCUGGGUUGUGAUGGGGAACAGAGAGCUGCUGCUGGGCAAAGAGCAAUCCCAGCCCUCUGGGCCGUCCCAGUGGGUGGGUGGGGGGGAGCUGACCCUGCUGGGAUGGGAUCCUCCUGCCUGGGCUGCUCGGAUGAGAGCUCCGUGUCCCAAUCUCUGCUGCUACCGUCGGGGUCAUGCUGUGUCUGAAGCAAGACGAGAGGUGCCCCAAGACAACACCUGAACACACCGGCUGUGCCUCCUAAAUGCCUUACAGAUCAGCGUGCCCAGCACAGCAGCUCCAUGACAGAAGCAGCAAUAGAUGGGGCUCAGCUCCCGAGAGCUCCUGCUGUAAGUCCUGCAAGGCACAAACCUCAGCUGUUCCGAAGGUGCGAGGUAGGCGGGCUGGGUAUUUUUGAACACGCUGCAAGAAAGCCUGGUGUCAACAUUUGCAUUCCUCCUGCGGUGUUACAAAGCCUGAUCCCAUAUUAAACAGCAGAAAAACCUGAAGCCGACUUCCAUGACCCACCCAGACUAGGUAAGAUGGGGAAGGCACUGAGGGAGCAGAAGGCGAGGAGGAGGCAGGAGGGGAUGGGCUGCUGCGCUCUGCCCUGCUGCUGACCCAGGGGGUUCCCACUGACACUGGAACCAGUGGCACAGAAAGCCAAUAAUCCUCUUACCGGCCUGGCACUGCCCGUGCUGCGCUCCAAUUAGCAGCCCAGCCUCGCCGGGGUUGUUAUUAAUUACGGGAGGAAGAGGGAUGGAGGAGAUUUAGAACACGUCUGCUGAGGGAAAGGAGGGCAGAGGGGAAAACGCUUUGCAGGUCUGAGCUGUUCCACUCUCACUGUGCUCUCAUUCUGCCCCCAGAACGGAGCCCCUCCCCCAUGCAGUGCAUAAGAUGCUACACAAAAUACACCCCAGGUGCUGCUGCUGCUCCGUUUGUCACCGUUCCAUUUCAGUAUUCCCAGAUGAUUUUCAACCCUGGAGAAAAGCCAGAGUCCCCCACCCCAGGCAGGCGCAGCGGGAGCAGCCAUCCUCCCCCAGCAAGAGGGCUGCACGCCUCAGGAAACUCAUCCCAAAGCCUCAGCAGACUGCACAGCCCUCCCAGUUAACAGCAAGGGACCCAAAGUCACGAGAACGUAAGUGAGGCACGAGGAGUCAGCUGGGUGGCACAGGGAACAGCUUUGCUGAGCACAAAGCUCUGCUUCCCACCGCACUGCCAGCUAAAAUUGGGCACGUCUCUAAAGGGACGUGGUGCUUAAAAAUAGGGUUCGUAGUCCCAAAGGCUUUUAAAGAGAGCUCAAGGCGGUUGCGUGCAUCACACCCCAUAGGAGGAGACGCAGGUUGGGGUAGCACCUGCCCAGCACCCCAAAGCUGGGGUGGGAUCCCCCUCUGUUGGGCAGCACUCAUUGCCCUAACCCUUACCAUGCAGCCUCUGUUCUGCCACCCCUCUCCCUGCUUCCACUGACGUACCGUGCAUGACACAGCACAGUUUUGCAAGGCACGAUGCGUGCCACACUUAUCUCUGCAGUGCCACAGACGUGGCCAGCACUGGUUCAGGGCCACGGGUCGCUGCCAUGCAGCCCAGCACCUGCCGUCACAGCAACACAAUAUCUGCUCCUCCUUGCACACGGGGACUGCAGGCAAAAAGCAGAACCUAUUGCAACGAGAUCUCUCUCUCUGUGAGGCAGUCGGAUGCCCAAAGGCUCUCAUUUACACUCACAAACGACCGCCGCUUUCGAGCCAUCCUGGAUUGCUUUGCGCAAUCUCCGCUGCCAGACACACAGGUCAAGUCCAAGUCACACUUAUCAAGAAACAAAAUAAGGUUAAAAAUAUUGUCUCAGUGUGCAGGAUGGUCUCUCUGGAGGCUCCCGUGGCUUUGCCUGAAAUACACCCAACGUCACUGCAGGAUGUACCCACACACCUUGCAGGCUGCCGAAUCGCAUCUGCUACAGAAAGCCCCGGCUCCUGAGCCUGGCUCCAGCCCUGCACGCUGCUGAAGGCACUGGGGCUGUGCUGAGGUCUGAGCUGGGUCAGGACCAGGACCGGGGGAGCUGAGGGUCUUCACACCGGGCAGGGAUUUUCUACCUGCACCCUCAGGCAUUCGCACCGUUGGCGUCAUCUGCCUCCCAAACCACAGUUCUGCACAGGAAGGGAACGAGCUGCCCGCAAGCACCGGAUGCGCACCAUACUCACGUUCAUCUUCCAGAGCCGCCCUCCUCUUUCAAGCCAUUUUGUGAGAAAGCCCCGUCGCUCACCGCCGCCUACGGCAUCGCUGCCUGCGUGCCCUGCAAGGACCCGGGCUCCAGAGCAGCCCUUAAUCCAUCCAGCACCAAAGCUCCGGGCUCAGCCCUGCAGCUGCGGGAUGCCCGGUGCCACCAAGGCGCUCCCCUCGGCUCCAGCCCGCGACGGACGGAGGUCCCCAGGCAGUGCGGAGCUCUCCAAAGCCGUCCCUUUUACGUUCUCCGACCUUGCGAGGAAAAUCCUGUCUCGUUUGAAUUAUUCAUCAUACUUUCUGUUCUGCCAGCUCCGGCAUACGUUCUGAAUCAUUAAUAUGUCAUGACUUCUUAUCUCUGUUUUUCUUUUUGACUUUUAUCUUCUCUCCUCCUUGAAAAAUAACGCGAUCACCGCUGUGUUAAUUAGCAUCCAUCUGAUUUACCAAAUCAAAAGCCGUCUCCGUCCUGAUGCACACCCUUCCUUGUGGGAAAUACCACUUUAACAGCUCUGGGAACUGGGCUAGCGCUGGCUGGUUCUAUCUAAAGCACUGCAAAACAUGUUUGGAUUUCACUUUUUGGCAGCGUUUCCUGAGCCUGCAAGCCGGUCUGGUGAUGGAAAGCCGGGUAGGCUUCCAGGAUCAUAAAAGAAGAACAAGGUAACGGCGCUGGGAGUGCUGUCAGACAGCUCGUUUUCCUCCUUUAUAGAGCUGAUGGCAAACCACUCCAAGCUACGGGCAGCAAGGGCAGCAGGGCCGGCUUGGCUCAGUGCUGCACUACCGCAGUGGGGACACAGCUGCUGCCAACAGCGGGAGCUGACCCUACAGCAUGCACCUGGACUCACACCUGUCCUAUGGGGCCCGCUGUACUUUGGGAAAGCAGUGAACCACCCCCUGAAUCCUCCCUGCCCCGGCUUGGCUCUCCCUUAUUAAUUUUGAGUCGGAUCCAACAAGCAGCCCUUCCCACAGCUCCUGGCUGGCAGAGCUGCAUUGCCCACCCCGUUCUCCAAAGAGCUAAAUGACAUUUCAGCGGCAGGAAGCUCCUGCCAAUAACAUCACAGCCCGGCCUCGUUGCUUUCAUGAGCCCCUCCAUUAUGCUCUGUGCUGGAGGUGGCUCCAAGAGGAGCCAGGGCUGGGGCUCAGCCCGGCCCCAGUGCCUGCAAUCAGGGCUGGGAGCGGACGUAACCCACCCCGUUCCCAACACAUUCCUUUCUGUACAGAUUUGACAUAGGAACCGCACCCGGUUUCAUAAAUAAAUGCAGCGGGAACCUGAACUAUUCAGCCCGCUGACCUGAA